CCGGCCCCCCCAGCAGCCCACGAACACCGCGCCGGGUCCCCACCCCGCCCCUCCCGGCAGGCAGGGCGGCCUCCCCCGGCGGCGGGGCCCGCUCCUCCCCGGGGCCGGCGAGUCAGCUGACGGCAGCGGCGGUUUCCAUCAUGGCCGCCGGGCCGGGGCGGCUGUCGGCGGGGCAGGGGAGGCGGAGAGGCGCGGCGGAGGCCCGGAUCCUGCUUCUCCUCUGGUUCGCGGGUGCAGCCGUGGAGGGAGCGGAGGGCACGGAGCCGCGGCUCAAGUGCGACGAGCUGAGGCUGGGGCAAUAUAUGUGUGAUGAGCCUAAAAUAGACAACAGUACACAAGAACCUAUGAAUUGUACAAAUCACACAGCAUAUGUUCAAUGUCUGCCAGCACCAAAUAUAACUUGCAAAGAUCACCUUGGCAUAGAAAAAGUCUUUACAGGACAUGAAGUUGGAUUUUACAAGCCUAUUCCAUGCCGCAAUGUAAAUGGAUACUCCUACAAAGUGGCAGUGGCUCUGUCCUUAUUUCUGGGAUGGUUGGGAGCAGAUAGAUUUUAUCUAGGCUAUCCUGCAUUAGGUUUGUUAAAGUUCUGCACUGUAGGAUUUUGUGGAAUUGGUAGCCUAAUUGAUUUCAUACUUAUUUCAAUGCAGAUCGUUGGACCUUCCGAUGGCUCUAGUUACAUUAUAGAUUACUAUGGAGCAAGGCUUACACGGCUCACUAUUACCAAUGCAACAUUCAGGAAAAUGCAGACCUAUCCUUAAACCUGGCAGUAAGUGUCACAAAUGCAUAGGUGCAUUUUAUUUUUACAGAUGGAUCCAGUCGUCCACUGAAAUUGCUGAUGACUUAUUAAUUACACUUCAUCAGAACUGCAUAUUAAAUGUACAUCGAACAAAGAUGAUAAAAUAUGAAAAUUCCUCAAGUGAGUGAGUUUACCUCAAAGGUGCCGAGUUUCUUUGUGACUGCUCUAUUUCUGUGAGCACAUAGUUUGUUGCUAAGUUGUACCAUUUGUGAAAUGUGCAGACUUUUACAAUUUGCACUGAUGUUGUUCUGUGUCUGUAAGUAUAAUUUAGAGUGUUACAGAGAGGUGGAGAAAGAGUUGUUCAGAACAACUAUGCUGAUCUUUAGUCCAUUGAAAUUGAUGAGAGUUUGAGCAUGGAUGGGCCACGAUUACAUUUGGUGUCUGUUUUCAUAACUAUGCAUGGCAUUUUGUAAAUGAACUUAAAUAUCCCAAACCACAGAAACUGCCUUUCUUUCUAUCCUGUUAGUUAAAAUCCAGAUGGCCCUAAAUCUUGUGCUGGUGUAUUCUGUGAAAUUCCAUUAAUUGAAAUAAUUAUUUCUGUGAAGCUUAAAGACAAAUUUUGGUCAAGUUGCAAAAUUUGGUCAGUGCUGAUCAACAGUAGAAAUAUGGAUGCAUAAAAAAUGGAACCGUAGAUGACACAUCACAAAAAAGGAGGGUGCAUGCUGGGGUGCCCUGAGGGUAGAAUAGGAAAUAAUUGUUCUGCUUAUUUUGAUUUUUUCUUUUCCCCUCCCUUGCAACCAUCCAUGGUAAAAUACAUCCCUUCCUUUUCUGAGAAGAAAUUGGUGCCUGUGUUUUACAGCUACAGAAUGUCAAAAAAGUGAAUUCUUUGUACUAAUAAAGCCCUUAAAAGGUUCUGAUUUUAGAUCAGUUGUGUUUCAGUGAAAUAAAUUCUGUGUCCUUCAAAGCUGUUUGACCAAAGUCUUUAGGACAACCAAAAUUUACCUAGAUUUUCCUCUAAAGAAAAGUAUAUACACACAGAGGCAGAAAACAUGUCAACAGAAUCUUCAUGUUAUUUGACCAAUUUUAAACAUUCCUUUCACCUUCUAAUGAAAACCAGCAGUAAUGUAGUGAGAAAUCCACAUGAUAUAAACUUUAAUGUAGAUUUUUUUUCAAAAAUUUGGGCUGUUCUUUUGUUUUUCAGAUGAAGCUUUCAAAAUGUUAUUAAUGUGUCCACAAGUGGUAUUUUUAAGGGAAUUACAAAAAAUGAGAUUCCUCAAUUGAUUUUUAAAAGUGCAAUUUGUGGGUUUUACUCUCUUUUAAACCUACAUUAGGACUGUUGCACAGAAAGCUUUGUAAAGCUGGUUUUUUCCAAAUCGGCGUAACCUGACGUACCACGUAAUGAGAAUAAACCACAAGGAAUACUUUGUGCUUAACAUGAAUUCUUUCCUUCACGCAAGAAGGACGGAGUUUUGGAAUACUUGCUAACAUGCAUUUUACUUGUGGGUUCAAGGAGACAAGAACGCUCUGUUAGCUUCGUUCACUUGCCUGAUAUUUGUUGCAUCUCCCUUUUGUCUCUCUUUCAGUGAAUGCUCUUUGUGCAUGUCAGUUUUGUUUCCUGAAAUACUUUCAAAAACAGACAGGAAGUGGAUGGAAAAGAAAUGUUUCAAUCAAAUAAAAUCUCGUGGCUAAGAUCAUCCUGUGACUUGUCUGCUUUUUGUUUUUUAACCCUGAAGCUGUGAAAAUAGGAAGAUACCAUGGACAUUAUAAUAAAAAAAAUAGCCUUGGGCAAAUCAUCACACCAGAUUUCGUUCUAAAAUCUGUCUCCACAUGUACAAAACUGCUUUUCGUUGACUCUUGUUCAUGUAUCCACUACCUUUGGACAUCCUGCCACAAGUUCUCAAAGUACCUCUAGGAGGAAUUGGACUCUUCAGAGUUGAAUCAACAUCGUAACUUAGCAGGGAGUGGGGCGGGGAGGGAGAUGGAUCCAGCGCAUCCUCUCUGCUCUGACAGGGUAGUGGCUGUAAUCGGGCAAUAUACCUGUCCCCAACCAACAGCAGGACUAAACGAGAUGUGCAUUUUGUUACAUCUGAAAAGCACCGUUUCUCCCCUUGGAACCUGUGGCUGCUUCUCUUACACAGCUGUACUCCAGAACAGAGUCUUCUUCAAAGUUCCUCGGAUUUACCGUGGAGAAAACAUGGCAAGAACAUGUAAGAGGAGAUCACUGCCUGCGAAGAACUGACUGAGUGUUCACCUUGAGCCUGACAAGACUGCCCACCAUAUGGAUUGUGUUGGCAGAGGCAGAAGCCUGGGGAAUGCAGAGGUGGGGGGUAAUUUUUAGGGCUUGCAUUCCAUGGUCCCAUUGAUUAUAACCCUAUUAAGAGGAUGAUGCAUGCGACUUUUAAGUUAUUUUGUUAACUAAGUGUAAGCAAUGGAUGUGUCAUGCUAACAAACAUAAUUGCUGGUGUGUCUAAUACAGUAUGUAAGUACAGUAUAGUGAAUUUAAAAGGUUGUGGUAAUCUAAGAAUGUUAAAAGGGAAACGUGUGCCUGGGGGGUGUGGGGGUUGGGGAGAAAAACGACUUACUUGACAUUCACUGUCUUCCUCCCAGCUCCUUUGCUAAAGUAGGAACAGAAUCGGAACAAAAAAAUGUUUGUUUUACAGCUGUACCAAGUUACGGCGUGGACUCGUGCUCCCCCCCCUCCUCUCCCACUUGCAUCAAGUACAUCCUGUACUUUUGGCAACAUGUUGACUGGAUAUUUAAAAGCUGUGAACUGUUCUGAAAGUUUCACAUACUGGGUUAUGGGCCAUGUGUGUUUGAUCAAAAUUCAAUUACUGCACUGUACCAUGCUUGGAAACCUAUCAUCCCAAGUUAUGAAGUAUGACGAAAUAGGCUAAUCUAAUUGGUUCAGUAUGGGAGCAGUAUCAACCAAGCUUGUUAUGAUAAAUAGCUUCCUGUGUUAAAGGUUCUCUAGAGCUUAAGUAUCUUGGCUCACCUCCCUCUACAAAAUAAGAAUAGUGUUCCCUGGGAACAGUUACAUCACUGUCCCUCUCCUACAUUCACAAUUAAAGGUUUGUGGAUUUUUUUCAUCUUGCUAUUCCUUGAAUAGAUAAACUGUGGCCAUCUACCCCAUUCCCCACUUCCAUCUCCUUCCCCUUUCCUCAGGUUAGGUCAUGUUGUGCUUACUGUGAGUCUGCCUGGUCUGUUUCAGGGCUAGGUAAGGCAAGCUUGACCAGGAUGCCAAAACCCAUCCUGGGCCGGAGGCUGGGAUUUGUGUGCUGGUGUCAGUGCAUACGACAUGUCUGUUUGUAUAAAGAGUUGGAAUUUUUGAUGUUAAGUGAAACGUGGAAGCACUUUAAUCUUUCUAAGCAUCUAAUAAAAGAACUUUUGUAUAGUGAA